AAUGGGUCCUAUACAUGCAUUCUGGCAUAUUUCUUAUCUUUUUGUGAAAUAUUCUUGAGCUAUAGGAAGGAAUAACCAUAUGUUAGAUGAGGUCCAAAAUCCAUAUUGUCCACUUAAAGAAAAAAUAUUCUUUGCCUGGUUUAUAGCAAAAUCUCGUGUCUAGGAAGGAAAAAAUAGUACCUAUUUUAAUGUUACUUUUGUCUAACACCAUAGAAAUCUCAGAGCCUGGGAUAAGGCAGAAACCAUCCUUGGAAGUGCUUCAACAAACAAGUAGAUUUGUAGGCUGUUCUAAAAAUGGACUACCUCAUUUCAGCAACCAGAAUAUAUAUAAACUUUAGAAACAUUAUAAGUUUUGACUCACCUUUAUUUAAGUAUUAAUGAAAAGGAUUCUAUUUUUUAGAUUUAUUAUAGUAAGUACAUUUAUUAUUUUAAAGACAAACAAAGACCCAGCAGAGCUUCAUAAAUAAAUAUUCUUGGGUAUUUAUUUCUAUAAAAUAAAUACAGUUCUUUUCUGUUUGAUAAAAAUAAAAUGUGUCAUACUAUAUAAAUGCAAUAAAAUUUCUUUGUGCUAAAGCUUUGUAUGCAUUUGGUGAGUUAAUAAAAAUGCCUAAUAAAAAGUUUUGAUAUGUAGAUCAUUAUGUACAAGGAUCAUAAUAAUGUAAGUUUUAAAGAUGUUGUGAUAAAGUUUAUGAAAUCUUUUACAGUGGAUAUUAGAAUUAGAUUGACCAUGAAAGAAUUCAGAGUUUGCAAUAAUAUGUAUUUCUAUGGGUUGUAAGUAAUUAAAAAGUGAAAAAAAAAAUCCAACUCCUGAAACCAUUUUGUACUGUGCCUGCAUCAAACAUCUGGUUACUUUGUUGGCUUAUUUUUCUAGAAUACAGACUAGCCAAUGGCAAGAAUGAUUAGUUUAUUAGUUAGUUAAUUAUUUAUAUCAUUUGGUGCUGUUGAUCAGUUCUCCAGAUCACAUUUCUGAUAAGGAGAACUUCUAUGAACAGGACCCUAACAGAUACAAUGCACUUGCCCUCUGUGCCUUAUUCCAGAACUAUCAGUAGUCUUACUUGGAUAGCCAACAGAGGUCCUGGGUUCAGCAGCUGGAAGCAUUUCUAGUUGGAGAGAGUUUUCAUGUUUCCUUCUCAAAUAUUUCACAAGGAUACAUGAGAACAAUUGCUUUAAAGCAAGGAAAGGAUUUUGAAUUAUCAAAUAUUUCCUACUCUAAUAUAACCAUGAAUAAUUCUGAUUCCAUAUUUAAGAGGUUUUAUAGGUAAUGAGUGGAACAUUUUGCAUGUUAUAUAUUUUCAUUUGCAUGCUCACAAAAUCACAAUUUAUUCCUUCACAGAGAUAAGUAGUAGUCAAAAUAGAUGUGUGCCAUUUUGUUUGUUCUGUUACAUUGUGUCUUCUUGUAGAAAAGACAGAUGGUGAUGACAUACUUUCAUUGCUUCUUCUUUCUCUCUAUUCUGUCAGAUCAGUAUGCAUUCUGUCGAUAUAUGAUUGACAUGUUUGUCCAUGGGGAUUUAAAACCAGGUAUUCCAAACAAUUCUUAUUGUUGUCUGUCUUAAUAGCCUCUGUUUCUAAAACUGUCAGCUUUGUCUGUACUAAGCUGUAUUUUCCUUUAAAAACUUGCAUACUGCAUGUGCAUACCUAGAAUAAAGACAAUAAAAUACAGAAAUG
rnacentral:lncRNA from 1 species